AUUGAACGCUGGCGGCAGGCCUAACACAUGCAAGUCGAGCGGAUGAAGGGAGCUUGCUCCUGGAUUCAGCGGCGGACGGGUGAGUAAUGCCUAGGAAUCUGCCUGGUAGUGGGGGAUAACGUCCGGAAACGGGCGCUAAUACCGCAUACGUCCUGAGGGAGAAAGUGGGGGAUCUUCGGACCUCACGCUAUCAGAUGAGCCUAGGUCGGAUUAGCUAGUUGGUGGGGUAAAGGCCUACCAAGGCGACGAUCCGUAACUGGCCUGAGAGGCUGAUCAGUCACACUGGAACUGGGACACGGUCCAGACUCCUACGGGAGGCAGCAGUGGGGAAUGUUGGACAAUGGGCGAAAGCCUGGUCCAGCCAUGCCGCGUGUGUGAAGAAGGUCUUCGGAUUGUAAAGCACUUUAAGUUGGGAGGAAGGGCAGUAAGUUGAUACCUUGCUGUUUUGACGUUACCAACAGAAUAAGCACCGGCUAACUUCGUG
rnacentral:rRNA from 1 species